AGUGAACGCUGGCGGUAGGCCUAACACAUGCAAGUCGAGCGGCAGAACAGUACUUGCUUGCUCAUACGGCUGCGGAGGGGUGGGUGAUUGCGGAGUACCUCCGUAUCUACUUUUUCUUAGGGGCUAACGUAGGGACACUUACGCCAAUCGUGCAUACGACCUACGGGUGAAAGCAUGGGAUCUUCGGCUAUUGCAUGAUUGUAUGUGCGGAUGUCGGAUUAGUUAGUUGGCGGGGUAACAGCCCACCAAGGCGUCGCUCCGUAGCUGGUCUGAGAGGAUGAUCAGCCAAACUGGAACUGAGACACGGUCCAGACUCCUACGGGAGGCAGCAGUGGGGAAUAUUGGACAAUGGGCGCAAGCCUGAUCCAGCCAUACCGCGGGGGUGAAGAAGGCCUUCGGGUUGUAAAGCCCUUUUGUUGGGAAAGAAAAGCAGCAGGUUAAUACCCCGCUGUUCUGACGGUACCCAAAGAAUAAGCACCGGCUAACUUCGUG
rnacentral:rRNA from 1 species